GCGAUGUUCAGGCGCUCUGCGAGCAGCACCCGUGGGGAGCUCAGUGACCUUCUCGCUCCCAUCAUCCCUUGGGCCACAGUUUCUAAAGCAGCCCCACAAACACUCACCUGAUUUCGGCGUCAGACCUAUGAGGCAGGCUGGAGUGCAAUGGCAAGAUCUCGGCUCACUGCAACCUCCGCCUCCCGGGUUCAAGCGAUUCUCCUGCCUCAGCCUCCCGUGUAGCUGGGACUACAGGAUGAUGGAUUCACACCUGCCUCGGCCAUGCACCCCAUCACAAAACCAGAAGCCUAGGAGUGCUCCUGUCAUCUUGAUUUUUCUCUCACAUCAGUGAUUCCAAAAUAAGGACUUAACCUGUGUGCUUCUCUUCUUCUCGCUGUCCCCACCCACCAGAGUCUCCCACCUGGACUGUUACCAUUGCCUCCUAACUGACCUUCCUACUUGCAUGCCUGUCAUCAUCUGCCCAUUUUCAACAUGCCUUCCAGAAGACAAAAUCUAUACUUAUCAGCUGAAGUUUGCAUAAAAUGCUCCAGUGCCUUCCACUUGCACCCAGGAUUCAAUCCAAAGCCCCUCCCAGGGCUGCCCAGGCUGUUUCCCCAACCUCCUUAGGGCCAUCUCCUCCUGGCUCCUACCCUCCUUGGCCCACUGCUGCCCCCGGAUCACACCCAGCUCCUCCCAGGACCUCAGCCCUGGCUGCUCCAGACCUUCCACUUGGUCCCUUGCCUUCUGUCAGUUCCCAAAGGUCAUCUUCCCAGAGAGACCCUCCCUGACCCUGGGUAAACUGCGUCUCCCUAUGCUGCUCCAGCCAGCACCCUGUUGACUCCCCUCACAAUGCUAACAAGCAUCUGCAUUCCAUUUGCAUUUGUGGUUGUUUGCUUGUUUGUUCUGUCUCCCCCACUAGACAUUCCAGGAAGGUGAGGCCAUGCCUUGCCAGU
rnacentral:lncRNA from 1 species